CGUAGGGUGCGAGCGUUGUCCGGAAUUAUUGGGCGUAAAGGGCUCGUAGGCGGUUUGUCGCGUCGGGAGUGAAAACCUUGGGCUUAACUCAGGGCUUGCUUUCGAUACGGGCAGACUAGAGGUAUGCAGGGGAGAACGGAAUUCCUGGUGUAGCGGUGAAAUGCGCAGAUAUCAGGAGGAACACCGGUGGCGAAGGCGGUUCUCUGGGCAUGAUCUGACGCUGAGGGGCGAAAGUGUGGGGAGCGAACAGGAUU
rnacentral:rRNA from 1 species